UGCUACCAUAGUGUCUGAGCAGCAGGAGAGAGCCUUCACGCUGGGGCUAGCAGGACUUCUCGGCGAGGGAGUUUUUAACUUUGGAGAACUCUCAUGCACCCUGUGCUGGAGUCCCUGAGGAAUACUGACCGGCAGUGGCUGAUUGACACCCUCUAUGCCUUCAACAGUGGCAACGUAGAGCGGUUCCAGACUCUGAAGACUGCCUGGGGCCAGCAGCUGAUUUAGCAGCUAAUGAAGCCCAGCUUCUGAGGAAAAUUCAGUUGUUGUGCCUCAUGGAGUGACUUUCACACGACCUGCCAAUCACAGACAACUCACUUUUGAAGAAAUUGCCAAAAGUGCUAAAAUCACAGUGAAUGAGUGGAGCUUCUGGUGAUGAAGGCCCUUUCGGUGGGGCUGGUGAAAGGCAGUAUAGACGAGGUGGACAAACGAGUCCACAUGACCUGGGUGCAGCCCCGAGUGUUGGAUUUGCAACAGGUG
rnacentral:lncRNA from 1 species